rnacentral:rRNA from 1 species
GAUGAACGCUGGCGGCGUGCCUAAUACAUGCAAGUCGAGCGAACGGACGAGAAGCUUGCUUCUCUGAUGUUAGCGGCGGACGGGUGAGUAACACGUGGAUAACCUACCUAUAAGACUGGGAUAACUUCGGGAAACCGUAGCUAAUACCGGAUAAUAUUUUGAACCGCAUGGUUCAAAAGUGAAAGACGGUCUUGCUGUCACUUAUAGAUGGAUCCGCGCUGCAUUAGCUAGUUGGUAAGGUAACGGCUUACCAAGGCAACGAUGCAUAGCCGACCUGAGAGGGUGGUCGGCCACACUGGAGCUGAGACGCGGUCCAGACUCCUACGGGACGCAGCAGUAGGGAAUCUUCCGCAGUGGGCGAAAGCCUGACGGAGCAACGCCGCGUGAGUGAUGAAGGUCUUCGGAUCGUAAAACUCUGUUAUUAGGGAAGAACAUAUGUGUAAGUAACUGUGCACAUCUUGACGGUACCUAAUCAGAAAGCCACGGCUAACUACGUG